rnacentral:lncRNA from 1 species
CCCGACCUCUUUAUUUCUUAUUGGCACAACCUCGCGCCAUCAAUUAUCAAAAUUGUCUCGGAAUCUUCUUGUAAAUCCCCAUCUUUCGUACUCUGAGUCAUUAUCCAUAUUCACACGACCGAUCUCUUUGUUGAAUGAUCAAUAUAAUUCCUUGCAUAAGCUUCGCCAACCACGCGACCGCUAACCUGCUCACGGAGAAAUAAC